rnacentral:tRNA from 1 species
AGCUCAGUCCGUAGAGCAUGAGACUCUUAAUCUUAGGGUCAUGGGUUCGUGCCCCAU